ensembl:snoRNA small nucleolar RNA SNORD109A
GGAUCAAUGAUGAUAACACUUGUCUGAGGAUGCUGAGCGAAUCAUGCCAAUGGGAAUCUGAGGUCC